GGCCGGAGCUGGGCCCCGCCGGUCCCGUGCUGACAGCCCCUAAGGCCACGGCUGUCCCUUCCUUUCCCUUCCCGGGGCUUUUUGUUUCUUAAACCAGCCCCAUUUAUCACUUCCAACCUGCCUAUCGCCUGACACCAACUGUUGCAAGUUCUGUGGUAACUGCUUCCCUGAACUUCUAGAUCGAAACCGCUCCUCCCCGGAGCCUAUUUAAGAAGCAGAAUUAAGAAUAAAUGCCUGGAUGCCCGUGGAGGCACUGAGCCCUAGAGUUUUCAAAGGGUCCAAUCAAGAAUGUCACUGUGAAAUUAGUCAUUGUGUCUCCUCUAUUCUGUGACAGUUAUUCAGUCUUGCCUUGCUCCACAUGACCUUGAAACUUUUGAAGAGUACUGAUCAGGUAUUUUGUAUAAUAUCCCUUCGUUUGGGUUUGCCUGAUGUGUUCUCAUGAUUAGACUGGGGCUAUGGGACUUGGGGAGGAGGUCCACAGAGAUGAGGUGCUCUUCUCACAGCAUCAUGUCAGGUGCACAUGAUACCAAUAUGACUUAUCAUGGGGUGAUACUAACCUUGAUCACUUUAAGAUGAAAUUUGCCAAAUUUGUUUAGUCAUUUAUCUGUUGAUGGACAUCCAGGUUAUUUCCAGUUUGGGGCUUGUAUUAGUUUGCUAGGGCUGCCAUAACAAAAUACCACAAGACUGGGUGGUGUAAACAACAGAAAUUUAUUAUCUCAUAGUUGUGGAGGCUUCCCACAAAUAUUGGUAUGUUAUAUUUUCAUUUUGAUUAAGUUCAAAGUGCUUUCUAAUUUCUCUUUCAAUUUCUUCUUUGACCAUGGAUUAUUUAGAAGCAUGUUAUCUUGUUUCCAAAAAAUUACAAUUUCUCUGUAGAUCUUUCUGUUGUUGAUUUCCAACUUAAUUCUGUAGUAGCCAGAGACCAUAUUGUAUGAUUUAAAUCCUUUAAAUUUAUUGAGACUUGUUUUAUGGCCCAGAAUAUGGUUAGUCUUGGUAAAUGUUCAAUGUGCCCCUGAGAAGAGUGUAUAUUCUGAUGUUGGGAGGGAUGGAGUCAAAUAGUUUCAUAGUGUUGCUGAAUCUGCUAUAUUUUUGCUUCUUUUCUGUCUACUUAAUUAUUGAAUCUACUUAAUUAUUGAAUUAAGAAGGAGAUACGCUGAAAAAGUAUUGAAGUCUUUAAUUAUAAUUAUGGAUUUGUCCAUGUGUCUUAUGGUUUUGAUCUCCACAUAACCAGAAACUGUGGCCAGAUAUUGUGCAUAAAGAACCAUGAUCGGAGUACCUUCAAGAUGGCGGAGGAGAAAGACGUGGAGGUCACCUUCCUCCCCACAAAUACAUCAAAAAUACAUCUACAGGGCUUCCCUGGUGGUGCAGUGGUUGGGAGUCCGCCUGCCGAUGCAGGGGACACUGGUUCGUGCCCUGGUCCGGGAAGAUCCCACAUGCUGUGGAGUGGCUGGGCCCAUGAGCUGUGGCCGCUGAGCCUGCGCGUCCAGAGCCUGUGCUCCGCAACAGGAUAGGCCACAACAGGGAGAGGCCCGCGUACGGCAAAAAAAAAAAAAAAAAAAGAAAAAAAGGAAAAAAUACAUCUACAGGACUUCCCUGGUGGCGCAGUGGUUAAGAAUCCUCCUGCCAAUUCAGGGGACAUGGGUUUGAGCCCUGGUCUGGGAAGAUCCCACAUGCCAUGGAGCAACUAAGCCCGUGCACCAAAACUACUGAGCCUGCACUCUAGAGCCCGCGAGCCACAACUACUGAUGCCCGAGUGCUUAGAGCCCAUGUUCCACAGCAAGAGAACCACUGCAGUGAGAAGUCUGCCCGCCGCCACAAAGAGUAGCCCCCGCUCGCCGCAACUAGAGAAAGCCCACACACAGCAACGAAGAUCCAACACAGCCAAAAAUAAAUUAAUUAAAUAAAUUGAAAAAAAAUACAUCUACAUGUGGAACAACUCCUACAGAAGACCUACUGAACACUGGCAGAAGACGUCAGACUUCCCAAAAGGCAAGAAAAUCCCCACGUACCAGGCCGUGUGGCUGACAGGCCUGAAUCCCGGAGGUGGGAGAGCUGAGUUCAGGACAUUGGACAAUCAGAGACCUCCCAGCCCCACGUAAUAUCAAUCGGCGAGAGCUCUCCCAGAGAUCUCCAUCUCAAAUCUAAGACCCAGCUCCACCCAACAGCCAGCAAGCUGCAGUGCUGGACUCUCCAUGCCAAUCAACUAGCAAGACAGGAACACAACCCCACCCAUUAAGCAGAGAGGCUGCCUAAGAUCAUACUAAGUUCACAGGCACACCAAAACACACAACCAGAUGCAGCCCUGCCCACCAGAAAGACAAGAUCCAGCCCCACCCACCGGAACACAGGCACCAGUCCUCUCCACCAGGAAGCCUACACAAGCCACUGAACCAACCUCACCCACUGGGGGCAGACACCAAAAACAACGGGAACUAUGAAGCUGCAGCCUGUGAAAAGGAGACCCCAAACACAGUAAGUUAAAGAAAAUGAGAAUACAGAGUAAUAUGUAGCAGAUGAAAGAGCAAGGUAAAAACCCACCAGACCAAACAAAUGAAGAGGAAAUAGGCAGUCUACAAAAGAAUUCAGAGUAAUGAUAGUAAACAUGAUCGAAAAUCUUGGAAAUAGAAUGGAGAAAAUACAAGAAAUGUUUAACAAGGACCUAGAAGAACCAAAGAGCAAACAAACAACGAUGAACUACACAAUAAAUGAAAUUUAAAAUUCUCUAGAAGGAAUCAAUAGCAGAAUAACUGAGGUAGAACAAUGGAUAAGUGACCUGGAAGAUAAAGUCGUGGAAAUAACUGCCACAGAGCAGAAUAAAGAAAAAAGAAUGAAAAGAAUUGAGGACAGUCUCAGAGACCUCUGGGACAACAUUAAAUGCACCAACAUUCAAAUUAUGGGGUCCCAGAGGAAGAGAAAAAGAAAGGGUCUGAGAAAAUAUUUGAACAGAUUAUAGUUGAAAACUUCCUUAAGGAAAUAGUCAAUCAAGUCCAGGAAGCACAGAGAUUCCCUUACAGGAUAAAUCCAAGGAGAAACAUGCCAAGACACAUAUUAAUCAAACUAUCAAAAAUUAAAUACAAAGAAAAAAUAUUAAAAGGAGCAGGGGAAAAGCAACAAAUAACAUACAAGGGAAUCCCCAUAAGGUUAACAGCUGAUCUUUCAGCAGAAACUCUGCAAGCCCAAAGGGAGUGGCAGAACAUAUUUAAAGUGAUGAAAGGGAAAAACCUACAACCAAGAUUACUCUACCCAGCAAGGAUCUCAUUCAGAUUCAAUGGAGAAAUGAAAACCUUUACAGACAAGCAAAAGCUAAGAGAAUUCAGCACCACCAAGCCAGCUUUACAACAAAUGAUAAAGGAACGUCUCUAGGUGGAAACACAAGAGAAAAAAAGACCUACAAAAACAAACCCAAAACAAUUAAGAAAA